UUUUAUGUCUUUGUCAUAUAUCCCCACACAUAGACUCUGUGAAAUUUAGACUCUGUGAAAGCAGAGGGUUUUUUUUGUUUGUUUGUUUUUGCCUUUUCUAGGGCCGAUUCCCGAGGCAUAUGGAGGUUCCCAGGCUAGGGCUCUAAUCGGAGCUGUAGCCGCUAGCCUACGCCACAGCCACAGCAACGCAGGAUCCGAGCCUCAUCUGUGACCUACACCGCAGCUCACAGCAAUGCCAGAUCCUUAACCUGCUGAGCGAGGCCAGGGAGCGAACCUGCAACCUUAUGGUUCCUGGUCAGAUUCGUUAACCACUGCGCCAUGACGGCAACUCCGAGAUUUUUUAAUUAUUGCUCUCUCCCCAACUCAUAUAACAGUGCCUACCUAGCAUGUAUAAGUGGCAGUUCUAGUUGUGGCACAGCAGAAACAAAUCCCACUAGUACCCAUGAGGAUGCGGGUUCAAUCUCUGGCCUCACUCAGUGGGUUAGGGAUCCGGUGUUGCCGUGAGCUAUGGUGUAGGUUGCAGACCUGGCUCGGAUCUGGCAUUGCUGACUGUGGUAUAGGCUGGCAGCUGUAGCUCCGAUUCAACCUCUAGCAUGGGAACCUCCAUAUGCCUCUGGUGCAGCCCUAAAAAAGCAGAAAGGAAGGAAGGAAGGGAGGGAGGAAGGAAGAAAGGAAAGAAAGAAAGAUAGGAAGUAAAAUCCUUAAGAAGUAUAGCUUGGGAGAGUACAGUUUGUAUAGUUUAUUCUUUGGGUUUUACACUUUUCUCUGAGAAGCUUUGAAUAUAGUGUAUUUUUGUUUUAUCAAACACAAAUGAAAGCCAUUCCUACCACAUCAUAACAUCCAAGACAAUUCUGUCCCAUCUGGCCACAACCUUAAAAAACUACAUUCAUUAUAAUAAUAUCUAAUGGAAGCUGCUGACACAGCCCUUAGUCAGUAAAGAUUUAGAAGACCAUCACACCAAUACUGGUGUGUGGUAUUAAUCACACCAUCAUUAAUAAGUUCGAAAAUAACAAGUGCUGGAGGGGAUGUGGAGAAAAGGGAACCCUCCUGCACUGCUGGUGGGAAUGUAAGCUGGUUCAUCCACUAUGGAGAACAGUAUGGAAGUAUCUUAGAAAACUAUAUGUAGAACUACCAUAUGACCCAGCAAUCUCAUUCUUGGGCAUAUAUGCAGACAAAACUCUCCUUAAAAAAGACACAUGCACUCACAUGUUCAUUGGAGCACUAUUCACAAUAGUCAAGACAUGGAAUCAACCCACAUGUCCACCAAUAGAUGAUUGGAUUAGGAAGAUGUGGUAUAUAUACACAAAGGAAUAGUACUCAGCCAUGAAAAAGAACAAAAUAAUGACAUUUGCAGUAACAUGGAUGGAACUAGAGACUUUCAUCCUGAGUAAAGUAAGUCAGAAAGAGAAAGACAAAUACCGUAUGAUAUCACUUAUAUCUGGAAUAUAAUAUACGGCACAAAGGAACCUUUCCACAGAAAAGAAAAUCAUGGACUUGGAGAACAGACUCGUGGUUGCCAAGGGGGAAGGGGCCUAGGGAGGGAGGGACUAGGAUCUUGGGGUAAGUAGAUGCAGAAUGUUGCCUUGGGGAUGGAUUAGCAAUGGGAUCCUGCUGUGUAGCACUGGGAAUUCUGUCUAUUCACACACGAUGGAACACGUAAUGUGUAAAAAAAGAAUGUAUACAUGUAAGUGUAACUGGGUCACCAUGCUGUACAGUAGAAAAAAAUAUAUAUAAAUAAAUGAUAAAAAAGGAUUUGUAAGACCAAAAUUGUGGUAAAAUUCAGUCCAGGGGCAUUAUCCCUGGACUUGUUUUUCUUAGAUGCUGAUAAUAACCCUGAAAAUUUGUCAAAUCAAGCUUCUGAUGUUAAUUUGGGGUUAUCAGUUUUCUGCACAUACAAGUAAUUGGGUUUGAAAUGUGUUUUAAGCCUGAAUUAAAAGAACUUAGUCACUGGUGACUCAUGGUGAGUUUUUCCUUUUCCCUGCUGGGACAUAUGCCAUUGCCUACAUCCAACCUGGCCUUUUCGAAACAUUGAAAGCAUUAAGAAUUCUGUUUUUAUGUACUGGGUUCUGGAGAAGUUCUUUUAGGUUUAGGGUGGUGUGGCCUUAAUUAAGAUGCUUUUUAGUAAUGGGCACUACAACUGACUUUCAAAAUUUCCAUGCAAAUUUCUUUAGUCUCUGCCUUUAUGGAAGUUUUCUCAUUAUAUAUGAAACAGUUGGAAGUCUACUAGAUGGUGCAUGAAUGACCACAGGGACUUUGUUUUGUUUGGUACUGUAUUCUUAUUGCUUUGCACAGAGAAAGCAAUUACUACAUCUUUGUUGAGUGAAGUCACAUACACUCUUUUUUUUUUUUUUUAAAAGAUCUUCACUCUAUACAUACUAGCCUAAUACAGUGCAUUUUAGAACAAUCAUGAAAGUUUAUUGAAAUAAAUUUCCUCCAGGUCUUUUGAAUUAGGUCAUCACUAAUUCCCAAUCAACCUAGUUUGGGAGGCUCUUGGUACUAGCCCAAGGUAGUUCUGCCCUAAUAGUUCUUAGCAUUGAUUGUGCCAACCUGACAUCUCCUUUAGCAGUUCACUUACCAAAGGAAGGGCAAACCGGCAACACCCAUAAGGCACUUGCACCUGUGGGAACCAAUGGGAGUUGUAACAGGAAAUACUUCAGCUUGCAGUACCGAUAGUAAUGAGCAGCGCCCAGGUCACGCUUUGUUUUAUCUGCAGUUUGUUAUUUGGAUUGUACAAGGUUUCUUGGAGUUUAUAUAUAUGACACAUGUAUAUAAGUUUAAAAGAGAAUUAACUUUAAAUUUGAAAAUUAAAGUGUGAAUGGUUCCUGGCAUUUUCUUCAUUAUCAAAGAAUUGGUGGUGAGUUGUCCUCCUUUAAAUAAGUUCUUUCUUUAGCUUAUAGUGUUGUGUCCCGGAAACCUCAUUCUGGCACAUAAGGAGGGGGGAGAUGGAGGGUGGGUAAAUGUAAAAUAACUAAAACUUAGGCUGAUACUAUCAGUAAAAACAACCAUUAUGGUAGGCAUUGAUAGAAUUGUGUAGAUUUUAACUUCAGAUUUUUUGAGCUGGGGGUAUUUUCCUCUGCUGUAGGGACUGGAGGGAAAAAAAUAGGAAAAAUUUUUAGAAAGCUCUAUGCAGAAUUUCAAAAUGCAAGGCUGUAUGAAACGCUGUUGAUGUUAACUGUCUGACCAGGAAGUACUCUCUUUAAGCCUCAUUUAUAAAACUGUGUCUAUAAUAACUUCCUUUCUCGGGAUGAAGGUGCUGAUAGCAUGGUCUUGUUCUUAGCAACUGAAGUGGAGUUCGGUUUUAUCUUUCCUUAAGUGAAUAAGAGGCAGCUUUUUAAAGAAAACCAUCUGUGGGACAAUCUUAGUGUUUGCUGUGGCUAAAUAAAGAAUUUGUAAAGUCUUUAGUUGUUGGAUUGGAAAUGUAAGACAUCCAUUUGAGAAGGUCUACUGUGAGUAAGCUUAGUGUUUUGUUUUACAUUUAAUGUUUUAUUAUAAAUAUGGUUUAUGUCUAAACAUAGCUAAUAAACUGUUGAAUUUCCUGUGAAUAUUUAUGACCUUAGCUCAAAGUCCAGCUGAGAGCAAUCAACCUCAAAAGUCACUGGGUUCAUAUGCUCUAUUUUAAUUUGUAAUUUGAUAUUUUACAACUAAAUAUUAGUGGGAAUUUUUUUCAAAAUGUUUUGAUUUUUCCUUUCUCCUGGAGAAUUAAUACAGAACGGCAAAUAAAACAUCAAAUCUUGUCAGAAGAGCCUCUGAAACAAAAAUAUUAAAUAUACUGAAGAUCAUCUUUAUUAAAUGAAUGCAGUUUAUGCUAAUGAUAUUAUCACUAUAAGACAAUAUUUCAAAGUUAAGCUACUCAAAAUGGCACACUAUUCAUCCUGGAAAUCUUAAAAAAUAACAAGGCCACUUCCUCUCUGUCUUUUACAGAAAGGGCAUAAGAACAGAAAGCAGAGCCAUUUCUUUAAUGUAAUAUCAGUUUUAGAGACAGAAAAGUCAGGAGAUUUGGUCACAUUUACUUCUUUUUCUUUUUGUUGUUGUUGUUUAGUAAUUAAGGUUAGUUACUAAAGUAUAAAAAUAAAAUAUCUUAGGUAUGAGAUAAUAAUUUAUGAGAUUACUUUAGUCCAUAAAGUGAAAUUAGAUGAAGUUGGCAAGUAUAUAAUUUUGUACUUAAUAUCUCACAGAUUGUAUAUUUAAAAAUUCGUGCAAAAUAUUUUAUAAUCCAAGAAAGGUACCUUAAUAGUUUCCUUCUCAUAUUUACUAGGCUUUAGGAACAAGGUUUAAAUGAAAUGUGUAUAACCCACUCCUAAUAUUUUACUUAAUGGAUGUGUAAAUUAAAGUCUUAUAAUUGUACAUAGGAUACAUUUUCAUUCAAGAGGCAUCGCAGCAGAUAUUACAGAUUUGGGGACACGUAUUCUUCCAUAUAAAAAAAGAAAUUAAAACUUUCAAAUAAUCUUUGAAAUACAUGGUUUUUGUUCCUUUGGAUGUAUGAAUGUUAAAGACUUAAAAGUGCAAAUGAUGUAAAUUUCAGUAUUCAUAGAUAAGGAGGACAUUUAUCAUGAUUGAGAAUUAUAUUAGCGCUCCAAAAGUAUUCCAGUCAGUUUGGGUGGGGGUGGGCCAGAGGAAGUGGGUGGGGCUUCACAGUAGUGACAGAUUACUGCAGAUCUUCUGGCUGCCUGCCAAAACACCACUAGUUGGAAGGAAAAGUGGUAGUUACUAAUUGCAUCCUACUAAUUUGUACAUGUUCAUUUAAGCAGUUAUAACCGUUUGCUGUUUCCAUGCUCAGAUGACAAGUUUUAAACUCUGACUUACUUGACAUGUGCAUAAUCUUCUGGAGUGGACCUUAGUCGUAUCUAUUAUCUUCAGUCUGCAGUGAUCACACUGACUCUUUUGUGAAAGACCAUGUGUUAGCAGAAAAAAAGAGGGAUGAGGGGAAACAACUUGAAACUAUAACUGCUUUACUUUCUAGUGAAAAAUAUUGUGGAGUUAAAAUGUAAAGUGUCCCAUCAUAUUUAGACAAUUUGUAUGAAAUACUAAUAAAAAUAAUCAUCUCUUGCAAAGGAGUUUGCAGUUCUGCUGUUCUGGUUCAGCUUAAAAUUGGGAUUCUUACUGUUGCAACAUAAAAGGAAGCUUUGUGGAGGAAAUAUGACAUCUCUGCCCAGAUACAUAAGGAGGAGAGUUAUUUUUAAAAGUGUUUUCUUAUGAAUAUAUUUUAUGUACUGAGAAGUAUCUUUAAAAAGCUCAUUUUGGGGAGUUCCCGUUGUGGCACAGUGGAAACAAAUCUGACUAGUCUCCAUGAGGAUGCGGGUUUGAUCCCUGGCCUCACUAAGUAGGUUGGGGAUCCAUUGUUGCUGAAAGUUAUGGUGUAGGUUGCAGACACAGCUCAGAUCCCAAGUUGCUGUAGCUGUGGCAUAGGCUGGCAGCUAUAGCUCUGUUUGGAUACCUAGCCUGGGAAUUUCCAUAUGCC
rnacentral:lncRNA from 1 species